GACGAACGCUGGCGGCGUGCUUAACACAUGCAAGUCGAACGGUGAAGCUCCAGCUUGCUGGAGUGGAUCAGUGGCGAACGGGUGAGUAACACGUGAGCAACCUGCCCCUGACUCUGGAAUAAGCGCUGGAAAUGGCGUCUAAUACUGGAUACGAGAAGGGUCCGCAUGGGCACUUUCUGGAAAGUUUUUCGGUUGGGGAUGGGCUCGCGGCCUAUCAGCUUGUUGGUGAGGUAAUGGCUCACCAAGGCGACGACGGGUAGCCGGCCUGAGAGGGCGACCGGCCACACUGGGACUGAGACACGGCCCAGACUCCUACGGGAGGCAGCAGUGGGGAAUAUUGCACAAUGGGCGAAAGCCUGAUGCAGCGACGCCGCGUGAGGGAUGACGGCCUUCGGGUUGUAAACCUCUUUCAGCAGGGAAGAAGCGAAAGUGACGGUACCUGCAGAAGAAGCACCGGCUAACUACGUG
rnacentral:rRNA from 1 species